GUGCCAGCAGCCGCGGUAAUACGUAGGUGGCAAGCGUUAUCCGGAAUUAUUGGGCGUAAAGCGCGCGUAGGCGGUUUUUUAAGUCUGAUGUGAAAGCCCACGGCUCAACCGUGGAGGGUCAUUGGAAACUGGAAAACUUGAGUGCAGAAGAGGAAAGUGGAAUUCCAUGUGUAGCGGUGAUAUGCGCAGAGAUAUGGAGGAACAACAGUGGCGAAGGCGACUUUCUGGUCCGUAACUGACGCUGAUGUGCGAAAGCGUGGAGAUCAAACAGGAUUAGA
rnacentral:rRNA from 1 species